rnacentral:lncRNA from 1 species
UCCAUUCUCCAAUAUACCAAUAAAACUCGCAUCAAAGACACCUUCAUCUCGCGAGAGUACCUCCUCUUUUGUACCUCCAUAAUCUCGCUUUACAGUGGUACCUCCCCAAAAUCCUUAAAUCCUUCAACAAUCUUUGGCAAUGGUUUCUCCCUCAACCUAUCUCGAUUCCGUUCAUGGUUAGGAGGUACUGUUAGAAAUUGUACAGCUUUCCUCCCAUUUUCGCUCC